UACGUAGGGGGCAAGCGUUGUCCGGAAUCAUUGGGCGUAAAGGGCGUGUAGGCGGAUCUUUAAGUCUGGUGUGAAAACCUAGGGCUCAACCGUGGGACUGCACCGGAAACUGGAGAUCUUGAGGACAGGAGGGGAAAGUGGAAUUCCACGUGUAGCGGUGAAAUGCGUAGAUAUGUGGAGGAACACCAGUGGCGAAGGCGACUUUCUGGACUGUAACUGACGCUGAGGCGCGAAAGCGUGGGGAGCAAACAGG
rnacentral:rRNA from 1 species